CGACUUUAAAUGCGUUGCCUGCGGGAAGCAGAUGUUGCGAGUUUGGAGUUCGUUGCAGUUUGGUUGGAGACGUGAAGCGGUAACGCGUUUGCCUCUGAGAAAAUCGCCUGCGGAACGAGAUUUAAACGGAGCCUGAAAAGAUUCAGCGCAGCCCCGUUCGAAAAGAAAUUGGUGAUAUAGCCAGUAGAAGAAAGGACCCUUGU
rnacentral:lncRNA from 1 species